GAUGAACGCUAGCGGCAGGCUUAACACAUGCAAGUCGAGGGGCAGCGGGGUGUAGCAAUACAUCGCCGGCGACCGGCGCACGGGUGCGUAACACGUAUGGAAUCUGCCCUGUACUGGGGAAUAGCCCUCCGAAAGGAGGAUUAAUACCCCGUAAUAGCUUGAGUGGCAUCACUCGGGUUUGAAAGCUCCGGCGGUACAGGAUGACCAUGCGCACGAUUAGCUAGUAGGUGAGGUAACGGCUCACCUAGGCUACGAUCGUUAGGGGGCCUGAGAGGGUUAUCCCCCACACUGGUACUGAGACACGGACCAGACUCCUACGGGAGGCAGCAGUGAGGAAUAUUGCGCAAUGGAGGAAACUCUGACGCAGCCAUGCCGCGUGCAGGAAGACGGCCCUACGGGUUGUAAACUGCUUUUAUCCGGGAAGAAACCCCAGGACGUGUCCUGGGUUGACGGUACCGGAGGAAUAAGCACCGGCUAACUCCGUG
rnacentral:rRNA from 1 species